rnacentral:rRNA from 1 species
UACGGGAGGCAGCAGUGGGGAAUAUUGCACAAUGGGCGCAAGCCUGAUGCAGCCAUGCCGCGUGUAUGAAGAAGGCCUUCGGGUUGUAAAGUACUUUCAGUCGUGAGGAAGGUGUUAAGGUUAAUAACCUUAGCAAUUGACGUUAGCGACAGAAGAAGCACCGGCUAACUCCGUGCCAGCAGCCGCGGUAAUACGGAGGGUGCGAGCGUUAAUCGGAAUUACUGGGCGUAAAGGGCACGCAGGCGGUUAAUUAAGUUGGAUGUGAAAUCCCCGGGCUUAACCUGGGAAUGGCAUUCAAGACUGGUUAGCUAGAGUCUUGUAGAGGGGGUAGAAUUCCAUGUGUAGCGGUGAAAUGCGUAGAGAUGUGGAGGAAUACCGGGUGGCGAAGGCGGGCCCCUGGGACAAAGACUGACGCUCAUGUGCGAAAGCGUGGGGAGCAAACAGGAUUAGAUACC